GCUGCUCAAAUCUUCACACAUCUCUCCGUGGUGAGCAGUAGUCAACGCCUAUAUGGGUGGCUGAGAGGUGAA
rnacentral:ribozyme from 1 species